GUCUGGAAACAACCGCGCGGUAGAGCGGACGUAUGAGAAUUGCGCUCAGCAGAUUUCGAGUACCGGGUUCUCUGUCUCCUGGAUCCUGCGCUCCGGGUCGGCUACUUGGUCAAACUCGACUUCCAAGACAAGCGCUCGGUGGUUUCUGCGCUCCAGGUCCGUUUCCUGGUGCCACUCGAGUUCCAGAACAAGCGCUCCGCGGUACCUGUUGAAAUUCGACUUCAGGGACUAGCGUUCGUAGUUUGUGCGUUCCAGGUCGGCUACCUGGUACAACUUGACUUCAGGGACAAGCGCUGCGUAGUUUUUGCGCGCCAGGUCCGCUACCUGGUAGAACUCGACUUCCAGGACGAGCGCUCCGUAGUUUCUGCGCUCGAGGUGUACCACCUGAUGAAACUCGAGUUCCAGGACAAGAGUUCCGUAGUUUCUGCACUCCGGGUGUCCUACCUCGUGAAACUCGACUUCCAAGACAAGCGAUCCGUAGUUUCUACUAUCCAGGUUCAUUUCCUGGUGCAACUUGAGUUCCAGGACAAGCGCUCCGUGGUUCCUGCGCUCCAGGUCUGUGACCUGGUGAAACUCGGCUUCAGGGAUAAACGCUCCGUAGUUUCUACGCUCCAGGUACGCUACCUGGUGAAGCUCGAGAUCCAGGACAAGCGAUACGUGGUUUCUGCGCUCCAGGUCGGCUAUCUGGUAAGACUCGACUUCAGGGAAAAGCGCCGUGUAGUUUUUCCGGGCCAGGUCCACUACCUGGUAGAAUUUGACUUCCAGGACAAGCGCUCCGUCGUUUCUGCGCUCGAGGUCAGUUACCUGAUGAAACUCGACUUCAGGGACUAGCGCUACGUAGGUUUUCCACUACAAAUCCGCUGCCCGCUGAAUCUCGACUCUCGGGGGAUGAGGUGGACUAGGAGGACGAGGAUUUGUGCACGUGUUCGAGGUAUAAUCCAAGGUGGUUAGAGGGAAUUGCGUGUGGUCGAGGUGGCCGAGGAGGAGGAGAACGAGGGAGACGAGGAGAACAAGGUGGACGAGAAGGACAAGGAUUUCUGCACGGUAUAACCCGAGGUGGGAAGCGGUGAUCGUUGAAGUUGGUUGGCGGCGGUUGGAGGUGGACGGACGUGGACGAGGGGGAGGACGAGGACGAGGACGAGGAGGACGAAGAUUUGUGCUCGGUAUAACCCGAGGUGGUCAUCGGUGGUUGUUGGAGGUGGUUGGCUGUGGCCGGAGGUGGACGAGAAGGAGGACCAGGAAGACAAGGAAAACAAGUCGGUAGGUACACUCAGGCCAAGUACUGGCUUGGGCCUACCAUUGCGAAGACUGUGUUACUCAGAAGGUAAAUGCAGCCAGCAUCUUGUCGAAAUCGGAAACUCCGUGAUGUUCUACGAUAAGUUCUCAACUCUACCAUUGGAUUAUCUCACGGAGCAAUUUACGGAUGUCACAUCUGAGCCCAUGAGGGCAACUGUCUUUAUAUUCUUCAUCCGAU
rnacentral:lncRNA from 1 species